GACGAACGCUGGCGGCGUGCCUAAUACAUGCAAGUAGGACGCAGUUGCGAACGGGAGAGUAAGGCGUAGGGAACUACCAAUUGAAGGGGGAUAAAUAUUGGAAACGAUAGCUAAUACCGCAUACUAGUAGAUGGACCUGUGUUGUAGUAGCUAGUAGGUAGGGUAAAGGCCUACCUAGGCAACGAUACAUACGCGACCUGAGAGGGUGAUCGGCCACACUGGGACUGAGACACGGCCCAGACUCCUACGGGAGGAAGCAGUAGGGAAUCUUCGGCAAUGGGGGGAACCCUGACCGAGCAACGCCGCGUGAGUGAAGAAGGUUUUCGGAUCGUAAAGCUCUGUUGUUAAGGAAGCGGUACUUAACCAGAAAGGGACGGCUAACUACGUGCCAGCCGCCGCGGUAAUAC
rnacentral:rRNA from 1 species